rnacentral:rRNA from 1 species
UACGUAGGGUGCGAGCGUUGUCCGGAAUUAUUGGGCGUAAAGAGCUCGUAGGCGGUUUGUUGCGUCUAUCGUGAAAACCUGCAGCUUAACUGUGGGCUUGCGGUGGAUACGGGCAGACUUGAGUUCGGUAGGGGAGACUGGAAUUCCUGGUGUAGCGGUGAAAUGCGCAGAUAUCAGGAGGAACACCGGUGGCGAAGGCGGGUCUCUGGGCAGUAACUGACGCUGAGGAGCGAAAGCGUGGGGAGCGAACAGG